ACCGGUACGCUAAUAUCACCAGGAUACCCUAGGCCCAGAUAAGUGGGGAUGGAUCCGCGAAUAUAUAAGCCCGUGAUUUUAAAGUAAUUCUAAAGCUUCUUCGAGAUUUUGAAGAACAGUAGUAUCGCAUCUCUUGAAAAACAAUUUACUUAUAAAAUUUACCACAAUGAGUAAACUUGGAUUAUUCCUAUUUGUCUUUGUUCUUUUCGCCUGCUGUGUUUUUGCUUAUUCAUCAUCGGAGUUAAAUGAUGAAGCAGUUUUGAGAGUCGAAAGAGCAGCAGAACCUGAGCCAAGCCGCGGUCGGGGGUAUCAGCAUCACGGAUAUGGAGGCUCUCAUUACAACCAUCGCCCUAAUUAUCAUCAUGGUCAUGGAGGUGGAAAUUACGGUGGAUCAUGGAAUAGAAGACAUUAACUGGAUGAAAUUAUUUUGUUAUUUUCUUUGUUUUAUUUCAUGAAAUAUCUUAUGAUUUUAUUUUUCAAUAACUAUCAUUUCAUUGCUCAAACUAAAAUGAGCUCAUAUUUGUAAAAUAUGGAUACUAAGUAAUAAAUAUUUUUUAUCAUCCAACAA